rnacentral:rRNA from 1 species
GAUGAACGCUGGCGGCGUGCCUAAUACAUGCAAGUCGAGCGAAGCGGGGACGGGUGAGUAACACGUGGAUAACCUCCUAUAAGACUGGGAUAACUUCGGGAAACCGGAGCUAAACCGGAUACUUAUAGAUGGAUCCGCGCUGCAUUAGCUAGUUGGUAAGGUAACGGCUUACCAAGGCAACGAUGCAUAGCCGACCUGAGAGGUGACUCUUCCCCCCUGGAACUGAGACCCGGUCCGCACUCCUCCCUCUUUCCUCCUUUUCUCUUCUUCCUCUCUUUCCGAAAGCCUGACCUAGCAACGCCGCGUGAGUGAUUAUUUUCUUCUGAUCAUCACACUCUGUUAUUAGGGAAGCGGUACCUAAUCAGAAAGCCACGGCUAACUACGUGCCAGCAGCCGCGGUAAUUC